rnacentral:rRNA from 1 species
GAUGAACGCUGGCGGCGUGCCUAAUACAUGCAAGUCGAGCGAACGGACGAGAAGCUUGCUUCUCUGAUGUUAGCGGGGACGGGUGAGUAACACGUGGAUAACCUACCUAUAAGACUGGGAUAACUUCGGGAAACCGUAGCUAAUACCGGAUAAUAUUUUGAACCGCAUGGUUCAAAAGUGAAAGACGGUCUUGCUGUCACUUAUAGAUGGAUCCGCGCUGCAUUAGCUAGUUGGUAAGGUAACGGCUUACCAAGGCAACGAUGCAUAGCCGACCUGAGAGGGUGAUCGGCCACACUGGAACUGAGACACGGUCCAGACUCCUACGGGAGGCAGCAGUAGGGAAUCUUCCGCAAUGGGCGAAAGCCUGACGGAGCAACGCCGCGUGAGUGAUGAAGGUCUUCGGAUCGUAAAACUCUGUUAUUAGGGAAGAACAUAUGUGUAAGUAACUGUGCACAUCUUGACGGUACCUAAUCAGAAAGCCACGGCUAACUACGUG